rnacentral:rRNA from 1 species
AGAGGUCUCAAGCGUUGUUCGGAUUCAUUGGGCGUAAAGGGUGCGUAGGUGGCGCCGUAAGUCGGGUGUGAAAUUUCGGAGCUUAACUCCGAAACUGCAUUCGAUACUGCGGUGCUUGAGGACUGGAGAGGAGACUGGAAUUCAUGGUGUAGCAGUGAAAUGCGUAGAGAUCAUGAGGAAGACCAGAGGCGAAGGCGGGUCUCUGGACAGUUCCUGACACUGAGGCACGAAGGCCAGGGGAGCAAACGGGAUUAGAUACCCCGGUAGUCCUGGCAGUAAACGGUGCACGUUUGGUGUGGGAGGAUUCGACCCCUUCCGCGCCGGAGCUAACGCGUUAAACGUGCCGCCUGGGGAGUACGGUCGCAAGAUUA